rnacentral:lncRNA from 1 species
GGGGGAUUGGGGCACUGGGAGGGGGAACUGGGAGCGCUGGGAGCGAUGGGGCGGGAACUGGGAGCAGGAACUGGGAGCGCUGGGUGCGCUGAGGGGCGCUAUGGGGCAGAAUGGGGGCGCUAUGGGGCAGCUGACCCCCCCCCCUUCCCCAGACCCCCCCCAGGAUGACGUCGCCGUGGGGCUGAGCCGUGGGGCGGAGCUGUGGGGCCCCCAAUGUUCCCACGGGCGCUGCGGGCGCUGCUGGAGGGGGCGCGGACCCCCCCGGGCCGGGAGGAGGGGUGGUGCUGAGCUCCUAUAGGGCCAAUCCCCCCGAGUCCGACCCACAGCAGGUGAGUGAGUGGGGCCAGGGGGCUCUGGGGGGUCAGUGGGAACACGUGAGGGGCAGUGGGUGCCACUGCCAUGGGGUGACACCGCUGGGAUGACUCUGUGGGGUGACCCCACGAGGCGAUCCCAUGAGAUGACCCCGUAGGAUAACCUUUGGGGUGACCCCCAAAGGAUGGCCCUAUAGUUUCACCCUGAGUUGAUCCCAUGGGAUAACCCUAUGAGGUCACAAGAAGACCCCGUGGGAUGACCCCAAGAGAUGACCCACUGGGAUGACCCUAUGGGGUGACCUCAUGGGUUGACCCCAAGAGAUGACCCUAUGGGGUGACCUCAUGGGUUGACCCCAAGAGAUGACCCAUUGGGAUGACCCUAUGGGGCGACCUCAUGGGUUGACUCCAAGAGAUGACCCUAUGGGGUGACCUCACAGGUUGACCCCACGAGAUGACCCCUUGGGAUGACCCUAUGGGGUGACCUCACGGGUUGACCCCACGAGAUGACCCCUUGGGAUGACCCUAUGGGGUGACCUCACGGGUUGACCCCAAGAGAUGACCCAUUGGGGUGACCUCAUGGCAUGACCCCAAGAGAUGACCCCUUGGGAUGACCCUAUGGGGUGACCUCAUGGGUUGACCCCAAGAGAUGACCCUAUGGG